AUGUCAUUAGUGUGUGGAAUAAGCAAGCCUCCUGAGACAGAGUCAUAAAUGAUGUACUGUUUUUGUCUCCUUGUUCCCUUUUAAGUUUACUCAGUAGAAGGAAGUUCUAAAUGAAAUUUUAGGCAGAGGAACUUGGGAGGCCUUAGGUGGGCUUUCUUAGAAGAAAUGUGGAAACUAAGACCUGGUGAUUGAGUAAAAGUUGGCCAAAUUGAGGGGUGUGGGCUCUGGGGCAGGAAGAGGGAAGAGAAGAGUGUUCCUGAUGUAGAGUAAAGAUGAGGAGGUGAGAAAUAGCCUGAUGCCUUAGAGGGGUUCAAAGAUCAAUAUAGUUAUGUGGGAGGGAAGGAGAGGUGUACUGUGGAGGGCUUUUAUAGUGGGACAGAUUUUCUCUGAAUACCCCAGGUUACCCCAGGUUUUAGCCUACAUUCAUACAAAGUGGGCAGUAAAUAAAUAUUUUUGAAAAUAAAGUCUGAAAAUCAUAUAAGUUUUUGGUUCCUUAACACAAUUUCCCUUCUCGUAAUUCAGAACCACCAUGCAUCAACUUCCCACUUCUCCUCACUGGAAAAUUGGAGGACUAUCUCCAAAUGGUUUUUGGACCUUAAGGCAGAGGGAGAAAAGUUUGCAUCCUUCAAGCAGAAGCUCCCAUGGAGUUUGUUGGUAAAGCAAGUUGUCUCAGGAAGUAAUGACUGAAGAUACAAUGCCUAGAAGUGUCACAGGCAACUUGCAACCUUGAGGAUAAAAUUCACAUGCUGAGCAUGAAGGAGCAUAAUGACAGAAGCUUGGAUUCUUUCUCAAUGCCAUUGAAUGAAGAGAAAGGUGACAGUUGGAUGAAGAAAGGCCUUGUGGAGGAAGUGUCAUUAGAGCUGACCUUCAGGAGCAAGUUCAAUGUUACUGCAGGCAAUCCUGGGGAAGUUAUUACAGAAAGUGCAGAGGAGAUCACUGGAUCAGAGGUGAAAAGAACAUGUGAGCAACCCUGAGGAAGCCAGCAACUAGGCUGCCCCAGAAGUCAGGAGUCUUUCAGUGUUUUCCGUGCUUAGAGCCUCAUCAACCAAGACAGGUGUGUGUGUGGUGGGGGGGGGGGGGGGGGGGGUAGGGGAUGACGGGGGAGGUUCCUCUCAAUCCCCUGGCUUUAGUCUUGCUCAGCAUUCUGGGGUGUGCUGGCUCAGGUCGAAGAAGCAGCACAUACUAACUUCCUCCCAGCUGCCUUAGUCAGCUGAGCCAAUUGCAUUGAGUGCUUGACAUCAAGGCUUCUCAAACAGAAUCCUGUUGGAAGAAACACAGACAGAGCUCUCCCCUCUUGUGUCUCGGCCUCUGGUAGGAGAUUUUCAUAGAUGGUGCUCAUCUCCCAGUUGUGGUACUGGUGGUUGGGAUAGUGAUUACCUGUCUAGGUUGUGGCUUGGCUGGACUGAGGUCCCAUCUAGUAACUUGCCCCAGGGAGGGGCCAAGGCUCAGUCAGAUAAAGCCUCUUCUCAUUACACGGAACACACCCACCCCAUCGGCCCAGUUCUACUGCUUUUGAUGUCAGGGAUGCAGACUUGGGCUGAUUAGUCCAUUCAAAGUAGAUUGAAAAAAAAGUCCCUAUUUAUUUAGUCAGGAUUGUGUUUCAACAACAAAACCCUGAAAAGCUCUGAGGCUUCAAAGUUUAUUUCUUAUUUCUGCUAUAUGUCCAUUAUGGGUUGGAUGUGGCUCUAUCCCAUCUUACCUUUACUCUGGGACCCAUGCUGAUGGAGCAGGGGGCCCUAACUGAAACAUUGCUAUUUAUCUCCUGGCAGGGAGGAGCUCAGUGAACCAUCCAUUAGCCCUUAAAACUUCUGCUGGGAAGUGAUCCAAGGCUCUUCUGCCCAGUUCCAUUGGCCAAAGUCAAUCAUAUGGCUAAGUUUUCUCUAAGGGGUAAGGAAGGGAUAAUCCCCCCCCACCACCCCCCGGGAGCAGCAUGGAAUAUUUGUGAAAAAUGCUACAAUAUUCCACACUUGGUCACCAAGGGAGGUAUUCCUCAAUUUCAUCAUAAAUUUACCUUAACUGACAGGUACUGGUGUGGUUUUUAUUUACCAUCUUUUAAAACAGUGGGAAAACCUGAGUGGUAAGUACCAAUCUCCAGGUGAUUGGUGAAGGUCAUUCAUUUCGGGUGAAGAGCUGAGAAAUAACAGAUUCAAAGCGUAGUGUGUGUUGUAGGUUGGAGGCAUAGAGUAGGAGGCAAGAUGGGGGAGAGAGAGGAGCUUGAGUGUGGUGGGCCUUAGGCACCAAGGGUUUAGAAUCAUUCUUUAGGCAGUGAAGUUUCAUUGAAGACUUCAGAGUGUUGGGAUGCACACUCUUCCUGCCAAGAGCCCCUAAGACAUUUAUAAAGGAUGAAAUGAAGGCUGGGUACUAGUUAGAAACCAUCACUAGGAGAAUAAUGGUGAAUUUGACUUCAGUUCCAGACAGAUUUAAGUUCAAGAUCUGCCUUUGAAAUAUCAUAGCCACAUGAUUCCAGGGAAGUUCCUCUACCUCUCUAAACCUUGGUUUGUUCCAUGUAAGAUGGAGAUGAUAAUAGUAUUGCCUUCCAUGGUUUGCUGUGGGAACUAAGUAAAGUAAUGUAUGUAAAGUGGUUAGCAAAACCCAAUACACCUAGAAAGCCCUUACAUGUGGGAAAGCAGAGACAAUGAAGAUUUAGAAUCAAUAGGAUCUGGUGAUUUUAUGUGAAGAGUAAAGACAUGGGAGGAUUUGAAGAGAGUACCAACGUUCCCGGACUGGUGAAUGGUAAUGCCACUUACCUAUUCAGAAGCUGGUAACAGCUGGGGGAGGAAAAAUCCUGAGUCUGGGAUCCCAGGGAGACAUCCGUGGAGAAGGUUUCCAGCAGGUGCUUAGAAAUGUGAGCAAGGCUUAGUAGAUAGAACUUGUACAAUGAGUCAUUGGCUGAUUGUGUGGACAGAUGGUUUCUGGGGUCUUUUGUGGAAAAUACUUAAUUUUAUUUUAAUACUUACACAGCACUAAGAGCUGAGGAAAGAGACACUUCUCCAGGCUAAAGAUUCUGGACGUCAGUGAUUCUCACACUUGAAUAUAUCAGAAUUACCUGGAGGGCUUCUUUAAGCCCAGAAUUUCUGAUUCAGUAGGUCAAGAGGCUGGAAACUGGGUUUCCUCACCUCCUCCAAGUGCUCUGCUCUUAUGUUGUCUCUGUCUUAACUGAGUCUUAGAGUAGACCUGGAAAAUGCUGACCCCACAAACAGGAGUGAUUGCAUUCACACCAUCGAUCCUCAUGUCUAGAAUAAGAUUUAGGGAAAUGGCCUUUUGAGAAUACACAGCAGAUUGCUGGGAGAUCAGCAGCAAUUCAAUAUGACAAGUGUGGCAGAUUUUUUGAUUUGUAACAUCCCUAUGUUAUAAUUCAUAGAAUAAGUCUUUAGCCUAUGGACCUUAUUCAAGAGAUAUCAUCUGUCCUGAUGAACUAAAAAAUCCAGAAAACCACAAUAAAUGCCUGUUGUGUGCA